CACGUAGUUAGCCGGCGCUUCUUAUCCAGCUACCGUCAACCCACCCACCAGGGGCAGGCCUGCUUCACUGGCGAAAGAGGUUCACAACCCGAAGGCCUCCAUCCCUCACGCGGCGUCGCUGCAUCAGGCUUGCGCCCAUUGUGCAAUAUUCCCCACUGCUGCCUCCCGUAGGAGUCUGGGCCGUGUCUCAGUCCCAGUGUGACCGUCCACCCUCUCAGGCCGGCUACCCCGUCACCGCCUUGGUAGGCCAUCACCCCACCAACAAGCUGAUAGGCCGCGAGCCCAUCCCCCACCAGAAAAAACCUUUCCCGGACCCACCAUGCGACAGACCCAGAAUAUCCCGUAUUAGCCACACUUUCAUGCGGUUAUCCAGAAGAAGGGGCAGGUUACUCACGUGUUACUCACCCGUUCGCCACUCAUCCACACCCACCAAAAAGGAAGCGCUUCACCGUUCGACUUGCAUGUGUUAAGCACGCCGCCAGCCGUUCGUCCU
rnacentral:rRNA from 1 species